AGAUGCCAGGGGCACAAGUCUGAAACCACAGUGUGCUUGCACGUGAGAGGUUUUAUGAUAUAGUGCCCCGCUCCGAAUAUGGGCAUAAAAGUGGAUCGUAAGCUUCACGAUAUGCGAAUGUAGGGCAGAAUUGUGGGAGUACGAAGUACGAAACAAUUUGUAUGGCAUUU
rfam:Dorea sp. CAG:105 genomic scaffold, scf146